UACGUAGGGUGCAAGCGUUGUCCGGAAUUAUUGGGCGUAAAGAGCUCGUAGGCGGUCUGUCACGUCGGCUGUGAAAUCCCGAGGCUCAACCUCGGGUCUGCAGUCGAUACGGGCAAACUAGAGUAUCGCAGGGGAGACUGGAAUUCCUGGUGUAGCGGUGAAAUGCGCAGAUAUCAGGAGGAACACCGGUGGCGAAGGCGGGUCUCUGGGCAAUAACUGACGCUGAGGAGCGAAAGCGUGGGGAGCGAACAGG
rnacentral:rRNA from 1 species